rnacentral:rRNA from 1 species
GACGAACGCUGGCGGCGUGCCUAAUACAUGCAAGUCGAACGAGAGCAACCGGUGCUUGCACUGGUCAAUCUAGUGGCGAACGGGUGAGUAACACGUGGGUAACCUGCCCAUCAGAGGGGGAUAACAUCCGGAAACGGAUGCUAAAACCGCAUAGGUCUUCGAACCGCAUGGUUUGAAGAGGAAAAGAGGCGCAAGCUUCUGCUGAUGGAUGGACCCGCGGUGCAUUAGCUAGUUGGUGAGGUAACGGCUCACCAAGGCCGUGAUGCAUAGCCGACCUGAGAGGGUGAUCGGCCACAUUGGGACUGAGACACGGCCCAAACUCCUACGGGAGGCAGCAGUAGGGAAUCUUCCGCAAUGGACGCAAGUCUGACGGAGCAACGCCGCGUGAGUGAAGAAGGUUUUCGGAUCGUAAAACUCUGUUGUUAGAGAAGAACAAGUGCUAGAGUAACUGUUAGCGCCUUGACGGUAUCUAACCGGAAAGCCACGGCUAACUACGUG